rnacentral:rRNA from 1 species
CCUACGGGUGGCAGCAGUAGGGAAUCUUUCACAAUGGGCGAAAGCCUGAAGCAGCAACGCCGCGUGCAGGAUGAAGGUUUUCGGAUUGUAAACUCCUUUUAUUAGCGAGGAUUAUGACGGUAUCUUACGAAUAAGCAUCGGCUAACUCCGUGCCAGCAGCCGCGGUAAUACGUAGGGUGCGAGCGUUACUCGGAGUCACUGGGCGUAAAGAGUUCGUUGGCGGGAUAGAAAGUCCGAUGGGAAAUCCUGGGGCUUAACCAUAAAACUGCAUUUGAAACUGUUAUGCUCGAGAACGUGAGAGGUAGCUGGAAUUCUUGGUGUAGGGGUAAAAUCCGUAGAGAUUAAGAGGAAUACUCAUAGCGAAGGC